GGCAGCUUUUGGAUGCUGAGAUGAAUUUAUUUGCAGUUUACCACGUUUUCAUUUCACUCCCUUUGCCCUUUCCCCCUUUCAAGGUUGCUGGUGGGAUCCGAGUGGUCGCAGUUCUCCACGUGGAUGUGAGAUGUGAUCCCAGGGAAGACUCUUUGCAUGGGUAACAUUUUGCCAAGGAUCUGCCCCUUAGUGAUCCUGCCGCUGUAUCUGAUGGGAUGGAUGCAGACCAGCUUGACACAGAAGUCUGGAGACGAGAGGAGAGAUAGCAUCAGGCACCUGGUGGGGCAUUUGUUCUACUGGACUAACUGCCUCACAAAUGCUUCUGGUUUCUGUCUUGUCCUUUCCACUGCAGUACCAACAGUGGAAAUGCCAAAGUAGCCAAGCCCCUGUGGGCAUCAGCAAUAGGGAGAGUGGAGCUGCUGACAUGGGGGAGGGCGGAAUGGGAGGAAGAGAAGGGAUUUCCAUCCUGCUUCAGUCAAGAGAAGAAUGUGAAGAGGUACUACAGAAGUCAGCUCUUGGCAGUGCUUGAGAGUGCAUCCCUUGGCCAGCGGCCAGGUGACCUCAGGACAAAGCAGGGUGAAGCAGAAGGCAGCUGCUCACCUUGUCCCCUGAUCUGCACCCCAUCGUCGAUGGCGUUGCCGUUGUGGAAGAACUUGACUGGCCCGGAGAGCUCCCCGGAGAAGGGCGCGUAGACGGUGGCGCCGUCAGCGCAGAUCACAUCCACGCCCGUGUGCUUGUGCCUCGCUUUCCCAGCUUGUCUGAAACAAACAGGCCUUUAGAGAAGUCUCCUGUCGGGCCUGACCUGGUUCGCAGCGCAGAGAAGGCUUCCCGCAGCAGGGGAGCUGGCACCUCAUGCACGCCUCCAGCUGUCACUACUUGCCUUCUCCCCUGAUCUGGACCCCGUCGUCGAUGGCGUUGCCGUUGUGGAAGAAGCGGAUGGGGCCGGAGAGCUCUCCGCCGAAGGGCGCGUACACGGCGGCGCCGUCCGCGCAGAUCACGUCCACGCCCACGUGCUUCUCCUUGCCCCUGCAACCACCAGCACAGGCAGUCAGAGCAGCCUCAGCGCCGGCGGCAGGUGAGCUGCAAGGUGCAGGGGGAAGCUCAAGAGGAAGCUCUGAACCCAAGCUGGUGGCAUUGCCACGUUGGGCAAUGGAGCUGCUCGCACGACGGUUGGCAGGGGCAGUUGUGAAAGACACAAAGUGGCUGCUUGGCACACACCAACAGAAGAGUUUGGGACAACUGGCAGGAGUUGCACAGCCCCUGGGAGCCCCACUUGCACCAUUUCCUGACCUGUGGUGAGGAGAGGGCAAGGAGCUGGCAAGGAACCAGCAUGGAGUCCUGUGAGGAGCACAGCGAGAGCAGGCUCAGGGCUGUGUGAAAGCUCACCGAAGGACAUCUGUGCACCAGGUGAGCAGGCUGGACCCUCAGGAGGGCCAAAGCAGCAGAGGGACCAUGCUGGCCAGCACCAUGGGUGAAGAGCUCCAGGAAACAUGUGAGGAAGGCUGCUGGGUGAUGGAGAAGAGCUCUUCUGCAUGUGGCCAAGCUGGGGACAGUGCACAGGACUGCUGUUGGCAAUGGAGAGUGAAGAACAUGAGCACAUCCAGGGGCCCUUUGAUUCAUUUGAGAUGUCUCAGCUGCUCUGUGACACCUCAAGUACCACUUCCAGCAGCAUCAGCUCCCCCUCCCCAUCUGAACGUGGGCUCCAGGUUUGGUAAGGACACUGCACCACGGAGAGAGGCUG